UCCCUACUCCUCCCAACAAAAAGAAAAAAAAAAACCAUUGCCCUUCCUGCCUUCCACACCGGUUCUUUGUGUCGUUCUCCUCUCGCAAACUUCACAGCCGCCUCUCUCUCUCUUCUCUUUAUGGCGUCCGACGAUUCUCUUCAUCUCUCCUCGUUAUCGCCUCGUCGCAAGCGCGAGCGUUCCCCUUCCCUGAGCUCUAGUUCUGGCAGCGACAAUGCCAAGGCCAGCCGCAGACAGCGUCGGCGACACGACCUCUCUGUCGAGGUCUGUAAAGAAUUCAUCCGCAGAGCCUGCCGGCGAGCUGAGAUUGCUUGCAAAUUUGCCCACCCCCCCUCCACCGUUACUAUCGAGCGGGGUAAGGUGAUAGCUUGCGCCGACUCAUUGCACAACAGGUGCUUCCGUGGCCGGACCUGUCGUUACUUCCAUCCUCCGCCUCAUAUCCUGGAGUCUCUUCUCAAGUCAAUUGGCAUGGAGGACACCAAACAUCUAAUGCGCCAGCGAUCACCUUCCCAGAGCCCUACUUACGACGGUGAUAAUGCUGAAUCCAGCCCCAGACAGCGUCGGCUACACGACCUAUCAGUCGAGGUCUGUAAAGAUUUCAUCCGCAGCGGCUGCCGCCGAGCCGAGAUCGACUGCAAGUUCGCCCAUCCCCCCUCCGGUGUCGCCAUCGAGCGAGGUAAGGUAAUAGCCUGCAUCGACUCACUUCGUGGCGAGUGCAUUCGCGGUCGGACUUGCCCUUACUACCAUCCUCCGGCUCAAAUCCAGGAGUCACUUCUCAAGGCAAUGGGCAUGGAGGACACUAAAAAUCCGAUGGCUUUACAAUAUCUUGGAUCAUCAGUUAAGCUUCCAAGUUAUACUCAACCAGGAAAUGAUCAGGAAUUUAUACCAGUGUGUCGGGAUUUCCUGAAGAAUGCCUGUAAUCGCCGUUCUUGUAAAUAUGCUCAUCCUGAUUCACAUGCAACGGGUCAGUUACAACAUCAUGGACUAUCACUUUUGGAAAAUGGCGCAAUCCCAAAUGCAACAGUUUUAUAUCAAGACGUUGUACCAGUGUGCAAGGACUUCUUGAAGAAUGCUUGUAACCGUGACCAUUGUAAAUACUUCCAUCUCAUUCCACAAUCUGAGAACAAAAAAGGGUAUCCGUUUGCAGGGAUUUUUUGAAAAAAGCUUGUCAGCGAGAUUCCUGUAAAUUCGCCCAUCCAAAUUCACGAACAAAGGUUGUUGACAAUCAAGUUGAAAUUUGUCAUGAUUUUCGUCGUGGACUUUGUCAUCGAACCAAUUGUCGUUUUUAUCACCCGCACACUCGCAGUGCUGAGAAAUAGAGCACUAGGCAGGAUCGAACUGCAGCCAUUUUAUUAUUAGGUUUGAUUUUUUAAAUUUCUUUCACUGAUCUAGUUUACCAUAUGAAAUUAAGUUAUUCUUUUUUGCAUGAAACUUAGAAGCUUCUCUGCUAAAGUGAUUACAUUUUUCAUUUUCUGAUUCUUGUCACUGCUUAGUGCCACCAUAUAGUACCAAUCCAUGCAAAUUUUGAAUUUCCGCCAAAGAAUAUUUGGUAAAGCCUUAGGACUUAUUUUGGAAAAUCACAUCCAUCAAACAUUGUUUUGCUCUUUUUGGAAGCUAUAAUUUUAUUGUGCUUUGGGAGUGGGCUUUUGCUUCAAAGCUUCUUAUUAACGAACUACAAAUUUUGACAUAAAUUACAUCUUUUUUUAUAUAUUUUAUUUUUCCUCUAAUCAAGUACUAUCUUGCUGGUAAUAGCAAAUGGAAAAUUUUGCAUGAAAAAUGGAAAAUGCUCCAACUGCAAAAUACGGAUUUGCAAAAUUUUUUUCUGAGAGAAUCCUUGGUUACCUAUUUAAAAUUAGGUUACCCUGGAUGCUCGAAGAUCUUAACACCAUUUAAUUAGGAUACUUUUCCUUUGAAAGAUCGAUGGUUAUGGGAACAGUUUUGCUUCCAAUGCCUUUAACAGUUUAACGUCUCUCUGAAAAGAGGUGGAUUUAAAUUCAAAAUAGAAUGUGACCGUGGUGGGGCAUCUAAUUUUUCCAAUGCAUUUAUGAAAAUAUGUAAACGAGGGCUGAUAUGCCUUGGAAAGAAAAACAACGAAAAAAUAGUAGAAAACUGCAUGAAUACUAAAAACAAUGGCUGAUUUUGUAUUAUCACUUCAAUGCAAAAAUAAGAUACAAGUGAUCUACAUAUUAG